UACGUAGGGGGCAAGCGUUGUCCGGAAUCAUUGGGCGUAAAGAGCGUGUAGGCGGCUCGAUAAGUCCGCUCUGAAAGCCCGGGGCUCAACCCCGGGAGGCGGGCGGAUACUGUCGAGCUAGAGUCCGGAAGAGGAGAGUGGAAUUCCCGGUGUAGCGGUGAAAUGCGCAGAUAUCGGGAAGAACACCCGUGGCGAAGGCGGCUCUCUGGGACGGUACUGACGCUGAGACGCGAAAGCGUGGGGAGCGAACAGG
rnacentral:rRNA from 1 species